rnacentral:rRNA from 1 species
AGAAUCAACGCUGGCGGCGUGCCUAACACAUGCAAGUCGCACGAGAAAGGGUAGCAAUACCUGAGUACAGUGGCGCACGGGUGAGUAACACGUGAAUAAUCUACCUCCGAGUGGGGGAAUAAACUGAGAGAAAUCUUAGCUAAUACCGCAUAAUACCCACGGGUCAAAGCAGCAAUGCGCUUGGAGAGGAGUUCGCGGCAGAUUAGUUAGUUGGCGGGGUAAUGGCCCACCAAGACGAUGAUCUGUAUCCGGCCUGAGAGGGCGCACGGACACACUGGGAACUGAAACACGGUCCAGACUCCUACGGGAGGCAGCAGUGGGGAAUUUUGCGCAAUGGGGGAAACCCUGACGCAGCAACGCCGCGUGGAGGAUGAAGCCCCUUGGGGUGUAAACUCCUUUCGAUCGGGAAGAUAAUGACGGUACCGAUAUAAGAAGCCCGGCUAACUUCGUGCCAGCAGCCGC